rnacentral:rRNA from 1 species
UACGAAAGGGUGCAAGCGUUGCUCGGAAUUAUUGGGCGUAAAGGGUAGGUAGGUGGUUACGUAUGUCUGGGGUGAAAUCCCUGAGCUUAACUCAGGAAGUGCCUUGGAAACGGCGUAACUAGAGUACUAGAGAGGUUCGUGGAAUUCCCGGUGUAGCGGUGAAAUGCGUAGAGAUCGGGAGGAACAUCAGAGGCGAAGGCGGCGAACUGGAUAGUAACUGACACUGAACUACGAAAGCGUGGGUAGCAAACAGG